AUUGAACGCUGGCGGCAGGCUUAACACAUGCAAGUCGAGCGGGGGAAGGUAGCUUGCUACCGGACCUAGCGGCGGACGGGAGAGUAAUGCUUAGGAAUCUGCCUAUUAGUGGGGGACAACAUCUCGAAAGGUAUGCUAAUACCGCAUACGUCCUACGGGAGAAAGCAGGGGAUCUUCGGACCUUGCGCUAAUAGAUGAGCCUAAGUAGGAUUAGCUAGUUUGUGGGGUAAAGGCCUACCAAGGCGACGAUCUGUGGCGGGUCUGAGAGGAUGAUCCGCCACACUGGGACUGAGACACGGCCAAGUCUCCCACGGGAGGCAGCAGUGGGGAAUAUUGGAUAAUGGGCGGAAGCCUGAUCCAGCCAUGCCGCGUGUGUGAAGAAGGCCUUUUGGUUGUAAAGCACUUUAAGCGAGGAGGAGGCUACUUAGAUUAAUACUCUGGGAUAGUGGACGUUACUCGCAGAAUAAGCACCGGCUAACUCUGUGCCAGCAGCCGCGGUAAAAC
rnacentral:rRNA from 1 species